rnacentral:rRNA from 1 species
CCUACGGGAGGCAGCAGGGGGGGAUAUUGGACAAUGGGCGAAAGCCUGAUCCAGCCAUGCCGCGUGUGUGAAGAAGGCCUUUUGGUUGUAAAGCACUUUAAGCGAGGAGGAGGCUACUGAGAUUAAUACUCUUGGAUAGUGGACGUUACUCGCAGAAUAAGCACCGGCUAACUCUGUGCCAGCAGCCGCGGUAAU